CAGGCCCAGCACUGUGCAUUACACAACCUAGCUGCCCCCAUCUCAAGAACUACUGAGGAUACAAAAGAAGGACCUUACCCUCAAGCAACUUAAUCUAUAGCUUUCAACAUAUAGAAGCAGCAAGACAGAAAGGAAUUAGCAGUCAGCUUAGACAGGCUGAUGGAAACAAAAAGAAUGCAUCUGGUGAGGCUAUGGAGAACAGUGAAGAAGAUUUAGAAUAUAGCAAGAGAACAAAAGACCCAUCACAGAGCUUUGGAAGCUAUUCAUAUUUAGAAAGUGGGCCCUGGAUCCUCAUCCAAUAAAGGAGAGUAAAGAGUAAUUAGAAGGGCAGAAGGAUAUAAUCUACAAGAGGAGAUGAUAAACAAUGUCAAAACUACAGAGUAUUCAAGAAGGAUGUGCAGCAAGAGGUCACUGAAUUUGA